UGCAGUUUUUCCCGCUCUCUGGCAGGUGUUGACCGGUUCAGUACAGUAUCUCCAUUGAUGGAUUGAUAGAGAUGUUCUGAUUCAACUGAAUUUGGAGAUUCUGCCUGUAGUGUGCAAUUCGAGGGUCUGCUGACAGUUGUUGUGCAGUUGGAAAUCUAACAGAUGAACUAUUUUCCUGAGUAGAAGGAGCUGGUUUAUUGAAAUGGCUGUCCUUGUUGCCCCAGUGAGCAAUCAGGGAAGAUGUGAAAAUUCUUGUUGUCUGAAUCUUCUUUCCAAUGAAAUUGGCACUGGUCUACCCAUUCCUUUUUGCAGGCACCAGUCUACUCAUUUGUUUUAUUUUAACACUGAUCAGC